rnacentral:snRNA from 1 species
AGCUUUGUGCAGUGGUCGUAUCAUAGCCAAUGAGGUUUAUCUGAGGUGCGAUUACUGCUAAUUAAAAGAAUAGAUCUUCAAAAUUCUUAUCACACAUACACACAAAAAUGG